rnacentral:rRNA from 1 species
UACGUAGGGUGCAAGCGUUAAUCGGAAUUACUGGGCGUAAAGCGUGCGCAGGCGGCUUUGCAAGACAGAUGUGAAAUCCCCGGGCUUAACCUGGGAACUGCACUUGUGACUGCAUGGCUGGAGUGCGGCAGAGGGGGAUGGAAUUCCGCGUGUAGCAGUGAAAUGCGUAGAUAUGCGGAGGAACACCGAUGGCGAAGGCAAUCCCCUGGGCCUGCACUGACGCUCAUGCCAC